rnacentral:ncRNA from 2 species
CUCCGCGCGCCGGGAGAGCGCGCCGUUUGUCGCACCCUGCCAUCGAGCGGGUGCAAUGCGCGGCGCCGCCGAAGGGGCAACCCACAAACUCUCAGGCAAAAGGACCGUGCGCGCCG